AUUAUGAAAUAACAUUAUGAAAAGCUGUAUGUAAUAAAUGUUUAAAUAUAUAAAUAUGUAUAUUAAAUAUAGAUGUGCUUGAAGCAGAGCCUAGUACUGAGACACAUGGGCAUAGUCAGGUAUUGCUCGUAAGAAUUUAAUCAUAGGCAACCAUUCUGAAGAGUGAAAUGGCAGGACUCACUGGAAUCAAGCACGUAUAUAAUCCCACAGCCUAAUGAAUGUUUCUCACAUGUCUACAGGGAUGUUCAUUGCAGCACUGCUGGGAUAACAGGAAGUUGGAAGAAACCUGGAGUUCCUUCACUAGAGGAAAGGUUAAGUAAAACAGAGUAAGAACACAACAUGGAAUACAAUGCAGCAGUUAGAAACUACAAACUAGAUACGAGAGGUACAUAGAGCAAACAUGGACAGACCUGAAAAACAGUGUUGAGUAAAACAGGGAAGAAGCAGAGAUCUAUAGACAUAUAAAUUAAACACACACAUGACACUACAUUCUAUAUUCUGCAAAGACUGUUAUAGUCACAGUUUCUCUGAAAUCAAUUAGAUUUUAUCUUCCUGAAGUUCCUCACCAACUAUAUUUUAAGAGAGAUCUAAUCAAAUCCCCCAAAAUGUCCCAACAAAGUGUAUGUUUGUUAUAGUCCACAAAAAGAUCAAGAAGUCACUACUUAAGAUAAAAAUGAAUAGGCGCUCUCUCAAAUGUAACAUGUUCAAAACUGAACUCAUAAUUUUCUCUCAAAAAACCUCUCUCACCCCAGGCUUCCACAUCUUAGCUGACACAAACUCCUUCCCUUUCAAGGCAAAUAUUUAGAAUCAGCCUUGACUUCUCUUUUUUCUUGUACUAUAUAUCUGAUUAAUUAGCAAAUUCUGUUAGUUCUGCCUUCAAAAUAUAUCUAGAAUCUGAUCACUUCACACCACCUUCUCUGCUACCACUCUGGCCUGAGCUGCCAUUGUGGCUCGCCAAGAUUAAUACAAAAGCCUGCUGAUUGACUCCUCCGCUUUUCUGCUGCUACACAGCAGCCUGUAAAAAUUAAGACUGGUCAUGUCACUCCUCUGUUCAAAACCUUGCAAAGCUCUCCAUUUCACCCAGAGAAAAAGCUGAAAUCCUUACUGUGAUCCAUAAGCCCUGUAUGAUCUUUAAGCUUCCUCCCUUUUCUCCCCUGGGCUUAUUCUGUUCUAUCCACCCAGGAUUCCUUUGCUGUUGCUUGAACACUCCAGACAUACUGCUGCCUCAGGGCCUUUGAAAAUACAUCACAUGACUAACUUCGGCAUCUCCUUCAGUCUUUGGUCACAUAUACCUUUACAGUGCGAUGGUACUGUAGAAGUGGAGGUGAUAUCACAACUCCCUCAAUUCUUUGACUUGUCACAAUGAGCAUAAAUUACUUUUGUAAUUUUAUAGGACACUCAUGGUAUGUGUGAGUUAAAUAACACAGUAUUUGUAAAUUUCUUAGCAAAAUGUAUGGCACAUAGUAAUACUCACUCUGUAGGUUAUUGAUAAAAACUAAAAACCCUGUAGUUUUCAGCUGGGAAUCCUGCAGAUGAUGAUGAAAAUGCAGAAAAGACACAAGCAGCUCCCUCUGACUAUUUUUUUAAAGGAGCCAAGUGUAAGAACACAGAGGGAUGGUUAGCAACUAUCAUCUUUACAGACUAGGCUGAGAGUGGGUUUAACAUGGUCAAAGGCAUACAAAACAUGUUUUUAGGUGACGUGAUAUGAUAUAGCAGUGAAGUUUUAGAAGAAUGAAAAUAUACACAGGGUACCUAUAUUUUGCUUUUAUAUAUGACCUGCUAUUGUGGGUUAAAUUAUGUCCCCCAGAAAGACAUGUUGAGAUCCUAACCCUCAGUACCUAUGAAUGUGACCCUAUCAGAAAUAGGGUUUCUGCAGAAACAAUCAACUUAAGAUGAGGUCAUAAAUACGACUUAUAUCCUUAUGAGAUGAGGGAAAUCUAUACGCAGAAAAACACACACACAGGGAGAAUGCCAUGUGAAGACAGAGGCAGAGACUGGGAUAAUGCAGCUACAAGCCAAGGAAUGUCAGAGAUCGCUAGCAAACACCAGAAGCUGGAAGAGGCAAGUAAGGAUUGCUCCCUAGAGCUUUCAGAGGGAAGACGGCUCUGCCACAUGCCUUGUUCUUGGACUCCUAGCCUCCAGAAUUAGGUCACCUGUUGGGUAAUAUCACCAUAGACUGACUACAGAAGCAGUUAUUAGCCUCCAGCCUCCUGUUCAUCUGGACACUAGAGAGAACGGAUAUUCUAAAAGCAGAAAUCUUGACACUUAAGCCAAAAAGCCCUCCCAUUCAGAAGGAUGUAUGGAUUUUUCAUACUUGCAUCUGCAGGACGCAGAUGGUCCGAGUCACAAGUAAAGAAUGUCUGGUGGUCCUGGGCAGAGAGAUUCAUGUCAUAAGGAAUCACUAACACCUUGACUCCAGAUCACGGCUUGAAACACACUGGAAUGGGAUUUUGCAUAAAGGAAGAAAGCUCAGGAAUGAUAAAUUUACACACCAUGGAUCUAGAAGGGAGUCUAUAACCCCAGAAUCACCAUCGUUUUGGGUGAUCCAUAUGCCUAUCAAUUAAAGGGCUACCUGAGUGCUGUUCAACUUCUUGAGAUGGAUGAAAAAGGAAUGAAAGGAGACAGUAAUCUUCAACUCCGCUCCUUUACUUUUGAAUAAGAGGUGAUGGAAGGCAAGGUCAGAGAGAUCUCGGUUCAAAUCUCAUGAUUUAACUGCUAUAUAACCUUGGCCAAAUUAUUUAAACUUUGUGCUUUGUGUCUGUUUUUACUUAGCAAUAUAAAGACACUGGUCAUACCUACCACUCAGAAUUUCAAUCAGAAUUAAAUGAAAUAAUAUAUGCAAAGUGCUUAAUAUAGUACACCUGGCAUGGAGUGGUAACUCAAUAAAUAGAUCUUUUGUUAUAA